GAUCACACAUCUAAGCAUCUGACUGCCUUAAUUACUUCCUGCUUCUCCCCUACAGAAUAUAUAUAAACCUGGAACUCAAAGGAGACAGCAAGUACCUGCGGAGAUGAAAAGAUCCUGCUUGUGGAGUAAACACUUUAACUCUUUCAGGGAGAUGUGAAUUAUUCUGUUUCUCGGCAAUAGAUCAUUUAUUUGGAUAUGGAAUGAAUCUGCCUCUGGCUAGGAAUAUCAACUGCAACACAACUGAACCAACCAAUAUUAGUAGCUGAAAGAAUACUUGUCUCAUAUAAUUUAGCAGUUCUACAAACAUACUUAUACUUUUAAAUUUCACAAUCAACAGCAAUUGAGUAAAUUGAUCAAACGAUGAAUGAUCAGUGGAUGAACAAGGUUCUGCUGACUUCUAUUGAUGAAAUUGAGGCCGUUUCCACCAUGGAGCAACCUGCUGCUUCUACCCUGAUUGAUUUUUGUAUUCGACUGCUCACCAGGGAGUACCUAGUAGAAUCUCUUCAGGAAGAGGGUGAGAUUGCAACAAAAGUGUUCAGAUUGUUUCUAUCACCAAGUGACUUUCAGAACCUUUCUAUAACCUCAUUGAGCUCAUAUCCAAGUACCUGGCUCCUGCCAUUGGAUCAGCGCGGUGCGCCUGCCGCAGCGCGCUGGCCGCGGCGGCCAUUGGAGGGUGAACCAACGGCAAAGGAAGACCUUUCUCUUUCUCUCACUGUCCACUCUGCCUGUCAAAAAAAAAAAAAAAAAGAAUAUACUUUGACUUUGGUCAGUAAGCAAAUUUUAAUUAAGUAAGCUCCAAAAUUGCAACAUUGUAACAUUUAUAUAUUUUAUUUUUCUUUAACUGAAAAGUACUAUACUGAAAUGAAAAACAAUUCAAGCAAUAUAAGAAUCUAUACAAUGGGAAUCAUAUUUUCUUCCCACCUUAAGAAUUUUAUUCUCCUUUCUUAGGGCCCACUUAAUAGUUUCUUCCAUACUGCCAUAUAUUGUUUCUUUGAGAGGCAGAGUUAGAGAGGUAGAGACAGAGAGAAAGGUAUUCCAUCUGCUGGUUCACUUCUCAAAUGGUUGCAAUGGUGAGAGCUAGGUGCAUCUGAAGUUAGGAGCUUCGUCUGGGUCUCCCACACGGUGCAGAGGCCCAAGCACUUGGGACAUCAUCCACUGCUCUCCCAGGCCAUAAGCAGAAAGCUGGAUCAGAAGACGAGCAGUCAGGACUCAAACUGGCAGCAUAUGGGAUACCGGUGCAACAGGUGGAGGCUUAUGCCACAGUACUGGCCUCAACAAACAUUUAUUUUGGUAACAUUUUUUCAUGAACUUUUUGAAGUUCCCUCAUAUACUUGUGGACAUUGCAAUUCAUCUGGCUUCUUUGAUGUAUAGAUAAUGUAAUAUGUAAUAAUGAAAUUAAUCUGAAUCAUUUCCACAUACAUUCCCCU
rnacentral:lncRNA from 1 species